rnacentral:rRNA from 1 species
GAUGAACGCUGGCUACAGGCUUAACACAUGCAAGUCGAGGGGUAACGAGAGGGAAGCUUGCUUUCCUUGUCGACGACCGGCGCACGGGUGAGUAACGCGUAUCCAACCUGCCCCCAACUAGGGAAUAACCUUGCGAAAGUAAGACUAAUACCCUAUAAUUUCCUCAGAUGUCAUCUGACGAGGAACAAAGAUUUAUCGGUUGUGGAUGGGGAUGCGUCUGAUUAGCUUGUUGGCGGGGUAACGGCCCACCAAGGCAACGAUCAGUAGGGGUUCUGAGAGGAAGGUCCCCCACAUUGGAACUGAGACACGGUCCAAACUCCUACAGGAGGCAGCAGUGAGGAAUAUUGGUCAAUGGGUGGAAGCCUGAACCAGCCAAGUAGCGUGCAGGAUGACGGCCCUAUGGGUUGUAAACUGCUUUUAUACAGGAAUAAAGUUAGCCACGUGUGGUUAUUUGUAGGUACUGUAUGAAUAAGGACCGGCUAAUUCCGUGCCAGCAGCCGCCGUAA